rnacentral:tRNA from 1 species
GGAGAGGUACCGAAGUGGUCAUAACGGGGCCGACUCGAAAUCGGCUUGUCCCUUAACCGGGGCACGUGGGGUCGAAUCCCACCCUCUCCG